CGCUCAAUAAAGGGACAUUUAACCUAAUUAUUUGUGGAAAACCAUGCCCAACCGAAAAGAUCUCGUGUUUGCAAAGUGGAUGAAAUGAUUCUUCGGGAACUUCAUAUCAACAAAUUAAAGUAUGUGGAAGCGGGACUUCAUCGUGCUAAGUGAAGAAGAGCUAUAUGUGUCAUGAUGUUUUACGAUUUGUGGACAAGAUUUAACGAGAUCGACUCGUGCAAGCGACUGAGGCCCUCAAACAAACGAAAGGAAAUUCUUGCACACUCGAGUCGUGUGUCUAUACAUCCUGAAGUGAAAGCAAUCAUUAUAGGCUAUGUAUAUUGUUGUGUUUACGUAUUCAAGACAGUUCUCACAAAGAUCUUUUAUGUAGCUAUCACACGUCGAAGAUUUUCGACUUCAAGUUUCUCUUUCAAUUUCUCUAUCAAUGAAAAUUUUACGAAAUGAUUUUGAUUUAACUGAAAUUCUUAUCCGAUCUUUGGACCAGCUGCACAGUGCUUAAAAACUAGUUACGUUACACGGUUGAGCAUACAAUUUUACGUAUAGAUAUAGUGAGCUCGACACUUGAGAUCGGUGAAGAUGCGUAGAAAUUUCCACAAUGAAGACUGUCGUCAUCAGACAAGCACUUCAUUCAUAAAGAUGAACGGACAAGGUUAGCAACGCAUUGAUUUGAAGUGAACUUGAGGGAGGAUGUUUGAAAAAAAUGCAUGGUAACAGAACUUUCAUGAAAAAUUUGAUGACAUGAAAUUAGUUAAAAAAAAACUAUUGUUAAAAUUCAUAAUCUUUUUUUUAUUUUCGAAAAAGGUAAUUAGCUGUCUAUCGAUCUUAUGUCUAGUCGAAGCAACAGGCAAUUUAGUGAUCGAUAGCUCAUCCAUUUUGUUCUGAGGUAAUUAGCCUGAACAAACUUGAACUGCUUAUCUAUACUUUAUCUUUUGAUAGAAAGUCGUUUAAUUAAUUAUUCCUAUGAUA